rnacentral:rRNA from 1 species
GAUGGACGCUGGCGGCGUGCCUAAUACAUGCAAGUCGAACGCUGGAAAUCUAGCUUGCUAGAUUGAAGGAGUGGCGAACGGGUGAGUAAUACAUAAGCAACCUACCCACGAAGACUGGGAUAAUCUCUGGAAACGGGGACUAAUACCGGAUAGGUAAUCGGAAGGCAUCUUCUGAUUAUUAAAGGUUAAAAACACUGGUGGAUGGGCUUAUGGCGCAUUAGUUAGUUGGUGAGGUAACGGCCCACCAAGACGAUGAUGCGUAGCCGGCCUGAGAGGGUGAACGGCCACAUUGGGACUGAGACACGGCCCAGACUCCUACGGGAGGCAGCAGUAGGGCAUUUUCGGCAAUGGGGGAAACCCUGACCGAGCCACGCCGCGUGAGUGAUGACGGCCUUCGGGUUGUAAAGCUCUGUUGUAAGGGAAGAACGGUAGAUAGAGAAUAUCUAAAUGACGGUACCUUACCAGAAAGCCACGGCUAACUACGUG